rnacentral:rRNA from 1 species
AGAGUUUGAUCCUGGCUCAGGAUGAACGCUGGCGGCGUGCCUAACACAUGCAAGUCGAACGGAGUUCUUAAGGAAUGCGACUUCGGUCAAAUGACUUUUGAACUUAGUGGCGGACGGGUGAGUAACGCGUGAGCAACCUGCCUUUCAGAGGGGGAUAACAUUUGGAAACAGAUGCUAAUACCGCAUAAGAUUACAGUACCGCAUGAUACAGUGAUCAAAGGAGCAAUCCGCUGAAAGAUGGGCUCGCGUCCGAUUAGAUAGUUGGUGAGGUAACGGCUCACCAAGUCGACGAUCGGUAGCCGGACUGAGAGGUUGAACGGCCACAUUGGGACUGAGACACGGCCCAGACUCCUACGGGAGGCAGCAGUGGGGAAUAUUGCACAAUGGGCGAAAGCCUGAUGCAGCAACGCCGCGUGAGGGAAGACGGUUUUCGGAUUGUAAACCUCUGUUUUCGGUGACGAACAAAUGACGGUAACCGAGUAGGAAGCCACGGCUAACUACGUGCCAGCAGCCGCGGUAAUACGUAGGUGGCAAGCGUUAUCCGGAAUUACUGGGUGUAAAGGGAGCGCAGGCGGGAUAGCAAGUCAGCUGUGAAAACUAUGGGCUCAACCCAUAAACUGCAGUUGAAACUGUUAUUCUUGAGUGGAGUAGAGGCAAGCGGAAUUCCGAGUGUAGCGGUGAAAUGCGUAGAUAUUCGGAGGAACACCAGUGGCGAAGGCGGCUUGCUGGGCUCUAACUGACGCUGAGGCUCGAAAGUGUGGGGAGCAAACAGGAUUAGAUACCCUGGUAGUCCACACUGUAAACG